rnacentral:snRNA from 1 species
GGAUGUGAGGUCAAUCUGACUGUGACAUCUGUCACCCCAUUGAUCGCCAGGGUUGAUUCAACUGAUUUGGCUGGCACCGCUCCAUGUGCGUCCCUCCUGAAGCAGCCUGCUCAGUCAAAGAGGAUGACCUUCCCCGAAUACAGGAGGACUGGUGUUCGGUCAAGGGUAUAUGACUAGCUGUGCUCCCCUGUGAGAACCUCAAAACAAGCUCUCAAGGUCCAAAGAGCAGUGGGGACUACUCUCUAAUGUCUAAGUUUCCUGACUAUGGGAUUAUGACAUGGUUUCCAGUAC